AACGAACGCUGGCGGCAUGCCUAACACAUGCAAGUCGAACGAGACCUUCGGGUCUAGUGGCGCCCGGGUGCGUAACCCGUGGGAACCUGCCCUUAGGUUCGGCCUAACUCCCCGACAGGGGUGCUAAUACCGGAUAAUGUCUUCGGCCCAAAGAUUUAUCGCCUUUGGAUGGGCCCGCGUUGGAUUAGCUCGUUGGUAGGGUAAUAGCCUACCAAGGCGACGAUCCAUAGCUGGUCAGAGAGGAUGAUCAGCCACACUGGGACUGGGACACGGCCCAGACUCCUACGGGAGGCAGCAGUGGGGAAUAUUGGACAAUGGGCGAAAGCCUGAUCCAGCAAUGCCGCGUGAGUGAUGAAGGCCUUAGGGUUGUAAAGCUCUUUUACCCGGGAUGAUAAUGACAGUACCGGGAGAAUAAGCGCCGGCUAACUCCGUG
rnacentral:rRNA from 1 species